rnacentral:lncRNA from 1 species
GGGCAGCCGGCAUGGAGCUCGGGAGGCGAGGCAGACUCGCGCGCGCGGCGAUCCCGCCUUCUCGUCAGCGCAGCCCGCUUCCAGCCGCCGCUCUUUCCUGCUAGUUCCCUGUUCCUAGACGCCUCUCCUCACUCCAACCUCCGCAGUUCCCUCUCUCAAUGGAUUCCCUUCAGACCGCACAGAUGGUGAGCUUGUCCGCCGAGCUCGGCAGCAACAACUUGGAGCUGGCGGAGCCGGAGGAGCCGGCGGCAUCGAUGGCCGUAGGAGAGUCAGCCGCCCACUCGGAGAAGGUGACACCCGAGGGCUCCCAACCUCCCGGGGCUCAAGAGCCCGAGCAAAGCCAGCCUCUGGCGGCCUCGACGCCGCCGGAGUGCAAAGUCCUGCUCACGCAGGCGGAUGCCUUGGCAUCCCGGGGGCACCUUCGGGAA